GUGGGGAAUAUUGGACAAUGGGCGAAAGCCUGAUCCAGCCAUGCCGCGUGUGUGAAGAAGGUCUUCGGAUUGUAAAGCACUUUAAGUUGGGAGGAAGGGCAGUAAGUUAAUACCUUGCUGUUUUGACGUUACCAACAGAAUAAGCACCGGCUAACUUCGUGCCAGCAGCCGCGGUAAUACGAAGGGUGCAAGCGUUAAUCGGAAUUACUGGGCGUAAAGCGCGCGUAGGUGGUUCAGCAAGUUAGAGGUGAAAUCCCCGGGCUCAACCUGGGAACUGCAUCCAAAACUACUGAGCUAGAGUACGGUAGAGGGUAGUGGAAUUUCCUGUGUAGCGGUGAAAUGCGUAGAUAUAGGAAGGAACACCAGUGGCGAAGGCGACUACCUGGACUGAUACUGACACUGAGGUGCGAAAGCGUGGGGAGCAAACAGGAUUAGAUACCCUAGUAGUCC
rnacentral:rRNA from 1 species